CAGUCACAUCAUAUUGAAACACUGGUUUCCAUAUAAUGACCGAAGUUAAGCAACGUUGAGCCUGGUCAGUACUAGAUGGGUGGCCGCUUGGGAUUACCAGGUACUGUAAG